CGGGGUGUGGCGCAGUUGGCUAGCGCACGUGGUUUGGGACCACGAGGUCGCCGGUUCAAGUCCGGCCGCCCCGA
rnacentral:tRNA from 1 species